GACGAACGCUGGCGGCGUGCUUAACACAUGCAAGUCGAACGGAAAGGCCCUGCUUGCAGGGUACUCGAGUGGCGAACGGGUGAGUAACACGUGGGUGAUCUGCCCUGCACUUCGGGAUAAGCCUGGGAAACUGGGUCUAAUACCGGAUAGGAGCCAUUUUUAGUUUGAUGGUUGGAAAGUUUUUUCGGUGUAGGAUGAGCUCGCGGCCUAUCAGCUUGUUGGUGGGGUAAUGGCCUACCAAGGCGGCGACGGGUAGCCGGCCUGAGAGGGUGGACGGCCACAUGGGGACUGAGAGACGGACCAGACUCCUACGGGAGGCAGCAGUGGGGAAUAUUGCACAAUGGGCGCAAGCCUGAUGCAGCGACGCCGCGUGGGGGAUGACGGCCUUCGGGUUGUAAACUCCUUUCGCUAGGGACGAAGCUUUUGUGACGGUACCUAGAUAAGAAGCACCGGCUAACUACGUG
rnacentral:rRNA from 1 species